rnacentral:misc_RNA from 1 species
UUUUGUUUGACCUCUUUAUGGAUGACUAAUCUCUUUAGUUAGGUUGUAAACUCCAGGUUUUGCUGACUUUUGGAUGCGGGAGUCGGUGCAACACUUGAUUCUGAAGGCUUGUGUAUUUGCUAUUUGGCAAUUCCAAAUACAUGACAUGUAGUUUAAGGAUCAGGAAAUCGUUAGAUCUGUUGUUGGAAAUGAUCAUUUUAACAGCAAGCACUCAAUAUUUUGCACAGUACUAAAUAUAUACAUAUUUCUGUGGGAGG